rnacentral:lncRNA from 1 species
UCAGACUUCUACCUGUCCGAUUUUCUGGCCACUUUCCUGGGUGGACUUUGAGCUAGGAGGCUCUGCCACCUUUCAGAUUUCUAGUGGGUGGGGAAUCUGAUUGGCUUGGGUUGCGUGGUCUUUUGAGUGUUGUUCCUUGCUUUGGCUUGAAACUCUCUUGCUUUUGUCCAUGUGACCUCAGGCCCGGUUCACAGACUCCAUGCCCAGACUCACCCUGAAUGUUUGUACCUGGUGGGGUGGGGGGAGGACACUUGUGUGCAAAACACAGUUUCUUCACGAGAAUCCAGUCUGUUCCAAACCAGUGCAUGGACUGCAUCGCACAAGUGAGCCCCCUUUUUCACAACCUGAGGACACAGUGGCUUUAGGCUAAGAGAGAAUGGCUUCGAAUUGCCACAACCUGAAGGGGAGAUUCAUCAAGGAAAGGUAACAUACCUGCUAAAGACCUUAAGAAAAGGGAAGUUGAGAACCAAGAAGUCUUUAAAAUAACUUCACUACCGGGUGUCACACAGGCUGGCUUCCCGAGUGCAACUUUAGAGUUUUUAAUAGGUUCCAUAAAGAGCUACGUAACCCACAGUCACCAGUAGAGGGCUCUCCAGAGCUACAGCCCCGAUUUGCCCUCUAGCGGCGAUUCUGAACAGAGUGUGUUUAUGCAGACUUGGGGCCUUCGACUGGCAAAAAAGCAGUUUGAGCAGACAUCUGGAACCAUUAGGUUCAACCAGCCAGGAGAGGGGUUUUCGAAUAGUAGCAGACUGAAGAGAUCCUAUUGCCAGAAUGAGACAUUCUUUCAGAAAAAGAUGGAUCAUUGCUCAUUGAGACAUUUGAGAGGUGAGGAACUGAAAUACAGAGCUCUGGAGGCACACAGUCCACAAAACAAAACAAAAGGAUUCAUAUUUAAACCUAAAUAGAGGACCAGCAAGAUGGCUCAAUGGAUAAAGGCACUUGCUGCCAAACUACACAACAGAAGUUGGAUCCUCAGACUCACACGGAAUGGAAGGAGAGAACCUACUUCCUCAGGUCACCCUUUGACUUACAUUCCUGUACCAUGGUACACAUGUAUUGUACAAGUGUCUAUUCAGAAGAGUUAUAUAUCCAGGUAUGGAUAUAUUAUAAAAAUAUAUGAAUAGAAAUAUGCAUAUAGCUCAAGAAUCUAAUAAAAGACAAAGUUAAAAUAUAACUGAGAGAAAA